GUCCCUGUGGCCGUUGCCAUGGCACCUGGUGACACCAACGAGUGUCACUGCAAUUGUCCCUGGAACAGCCCUUGCACUGCUUUGUCCUAAGGGUUGCCGUGGCAGCUGAAGACAGCAACAGCUCUGCAGCAGGAAACCUUUCUGAAGAACUACCCAAGAGCAGAGGGAAAUCAAGGCAGAGCCAUGGUUUGUCAGGACUUCCUGGAUCCUAAUGAGCCCUGUGGUGCAUUUGGAGCUCUUGAACGUCAGGGCCUGAGAGGAGAUUGCACAAACCUUUCCAGGAGUCAAAGUCAGAGGAAACACCCAAAGUGUCUCAAGGCAUGAAUGGGUCCCACUGAGGUCCCUCUCCAACACAGGCUCCUCAUGGACUCCUUGGAGGAGAGAAUCGCAGACCAGGAUGGCACAAAAACUUCUCAAAGACUCGGUGUGAAAAGGAAAAUCCAAAGUACCUUAAACAACGUUGAGUAACUCGAAGUAUUAAUGA